CGUAGUUCCGGUUACCCGGGCCGGGGCUCGGUGGAGAGCGAGUCGUGUGAAUGAGAGUGAAGGAGCUGUGCGUGCGCGCUUGGUUAAGAGGAAUGAAAGACACGAAGGUCAUAGCCGAUGAGCUGUGAUUGAUGAAUUCUCCAACAAGAAGGAAGAAACCUCCCGGCUUGGUGAUGAUUACAAAAAAGAUUUCCCAUUUGAAAAGGGUAAGACUGAAUACUUCUGCUAGAGUGCUUGGAAAUGGCUGAGCAUGUUUGAUAGCCCGUGUGGCUCAAGUUUUGUAACUUUCCACACUUAAAAUCAAC